rnacentral:rRNA from 2 species
GGUUAAGCGACUAAGCGUACACGGUGGAUGCCCUGGCAGUCAGAGGCGAUGAAGGGCGUGCUAAUCUGCGAUAAGCGCCGGUAAGGUGAUAUGAACCGUUAUAACCGGCGAUACCCGAAUGGGGAAACCCAGUGUGAUUCGUCACACUAUCAUUAACUGAAUCCAUAGGUUAAUGAGGCGAACCGGGGGAACUGAAACAUCUAAGUACCCCGAGGAAAAGAAAUCAACCGAGAUUCCCCCAGUAGCGGCGAGCGAACGGGGAGGAGCCCAGAGCCUGAAUCAGCAUGUGUGUUAGUGGAAGCGUCUGGA